rnacentral:rRNA from 1 species
UACGGUAGGGUGCGAGCGUUAAUCGGAAUUACUGGGCGUAAAGCGUGCGCAGGCGGCGCGUUAAGACAGGUGUGAAAGCCCCGAGCUUAACUUGGGAAUUGCGCUUGUGACUGGCGUGCUGGAGUGUGGCAGAGGGAGGUGGAAUUCCACGUGUAGCAGUGAAAUGCGUAGAGAUGUGGAGGAACACCGAUGGCGAAGGCAGCCUCCUGGGCCAGCACUGACGCUCAUGCACGAAAGCGUGGGGAGCAAACAGG